GUCGUCAGGUUUAAAUUUUUUGACACUCCUACAUAUGUUUUAUAGUGUUACAAACGUAGCCUUAUAAACACACGAGUUGAUUAACUGUUGCUCAAAAAUUCUAAAUAAUAGGAACCCAAACUCCAAGGUGCAGUAAUUUCAAGUCAUGUCGCAAGAAGUUGAGGUUCCUGAAGUAGCAAAUUUUUAGUCGACCUAGAUGAUCAAUUUCUUUUCUUACACUGGUUGGAUCUCGUGCAAUGUCUAAAAAUACCAAGCCGUAUGUAUUUACCGUGGUCAGACUGGCUAAAAACUAAUUCCAUGUGUCCUUGUCCAUAACAUAAUUUCGUAUUGGGUUCAUAUAAAUCGGAUAUGCAAAGUGGAUAAUUUAAAAGACGCGUUCCAACAAUUGGAUUGGAAUUAUUUGGCAGAUCAACUACAAACUAAAUUCAUCUUCGACACCGUGAUCGUCCACAAUUUUAGGAGUAAUGAAGUUCGAAAUAAGUCCAAACUGCUGAAUGAAAAAUUCAUCCGGGUAAAUCCAACACCGGAACUUCCAUUUUAUGGGAGACGUGCUGAGUUAGUGCAAUUGGAGGAAUCAUUCUCCAAUUGUAGGCAUAGAUCCGAAUUUGUUUUCAUUACUGGUCCACCUGUAAUUGGCAAGUCGGAAUUAAUUUGUGAAUUUAUGAAGCAUAAGUGUAAAAGUGACUUGUUAUCGUAUUCUUGGAUUGAUUGCAAAAAUGGGGCAUUUUGUUGGUAUCAAUUAUAUUACAGUUUAAUUCGCCAGAACUGCAGAAGUGUCUGUAUUGGCGACUAUCCUUCCAGAAACAGUACUGCGGAAACUGAAUCGCAACGAAUUGUUGGUGAAAUUAUUCCAAAAAAAUAUUGGGUUUGCAUUUUAGACAAUAUAUCCCUUCGUACGAAGGAUCUGGAAUAUUUUGUGUACGAUUUUCACAACCUCAGCAAAAUUUUCGUCGUUAUUAUUAGUCGAAACGUUAAUUUGUUAAAUUCAAACGCAGGGAAUAUUAGACAUAUAAAUUUACCCGGCUUGGAUUUCGCAGAAAUUCUGAGUAAAAACGAAAUCCACCAAGGAAAGGAAAUUUGCAAUCUUCUGGACGGGCAUCCUCUAGGUUUACAUCAGUUUUUUUCUUAUGCAAAUUACCGAUUUCCGAGCACUGUUAAUUUCAAUGAGAGAAUCGCCCAAAGCCUUCAACGGUGAGAAUCCCCUGGAAAUUCUGGAGUCACGAUUAUUUCCAAAUUUUUCAACUUCCUGUGAAUCUUCAGUAAUUGAUAAAUAUUCUGAGGUCCUGUCACAAAUAAUAUCGGGGACUAACUAUACCCAAAAAGUUUCAAAUUUGAUUUUCCUCCUGUCCCGCUCUGGUAGAAGGGGCAUUCCAAUGAAAAUAUUGCUUAAAAAUAUGUAAGACCAGGAUAGGAUUUAAGAAUGAAAAGGGAAUAUUGGAGUUAAUUGAAAAAUUUGAAAAUCAGUCCGUAAUCGUGAAACAAAAUGAUAAUUUAGUUGUUCAUCCGAUUUUCAUUCUGGUAUUGGAACGAGAGGUUGAAGAUCGAAAUAUUUCCUUGAAGUUUGGGGAAGGGCAACAUGGUAAAAUUAUCUUUGAACCCGACGAGGUUAUGAGCUGGAGAGAUUGGGAUUGUGAAAUAUUUUAGUGGACUAGUAUCGAGAAGUGCGCAAUAUGUAAAUAGUAUGCACAUUGAGGAUUACUCAAUUUAAGACGAAUUAUUACCGUAAAUACUCUAUUUGUUACCCAAUUCUAAUUAUAUCCGGUCUCCAAAUAUAGCCGGGUCUAGAGACCAAGAUUUCAAAAUUUUACCCGGGUUUCUAAUUGUAGCCGGGUCUGUGACCCUCGGUUUGGGCUUUUAGCCCGGCUAUAAAUAGAGUUUUUACGGUUUGUAUUAAUGUUUUAUUUUGCACUAACUACUAAAUUUUAGAAUGACAAAUCAGACAAAUUUUAUAUGCAUUUUGUGUCAUGAAUUUCAAAUCAGUAUUGAAAACUGAUAUCUUUCUACCAUUUAUGAACUGUCCCCAUAAUGAAAGUGUCAGAACUUUUAGGAGUGCAAAAAAUGAUUGCAUGAAUCACCCAUAGAAUUUCUCACCAAUGAAAGUUUUUCCCAAUUUUCAAUUUUACGUGAAAGAAGGUUUCGGCUAUGCUUAGCCGGAAAAAUUGUAUCACUGAUAAAUGAUAGAUAAGACGUUAAGCUGGUUGCAACCAGUCAUCAGUGAGGGAACUGCACCCUCGUACCCCGUCUUGGAUCAUACACUCAAAAUAAUCUGGUGUCAAUCCAGCGCGGUGAAGUCACAUAUAGACACCGCUCGGUGUUAAUUGCCCGCAUUAACACCGCGUGGUGUCUAUAUGUGACAACACCGCACUGGAUUGACACCAGGUUAUUUUGAGUGUAGUGCAUAUGGCACAGUAUCAAGUCAAUAUUCAUUAAAAACGGGAACGUCAUUUCAUAAAACACGAAUAAAACAUUUUUAAAAUUCAACUCAAAAAUUUAAAAAAAAAACAAUCAAAACUGGAAAUCGUAGCAAAAAACCCGUACUCCAAAUUACGACUGUCCGGGUCAUGAGACCAUCAGUUAUGCUGCAUCUCAUGCAUACUUAAAUUAUGCUCAACGUAUUGUUUCUUAGUAUUAUCUAAACCCAACCUGGAUUAAAAAUUAGUUAAGAGAAAACCUUAACCCCUUAUCUUAGCUAGUGAUUUGUAAAACUGUCAUUUGUUUUAACAUUGCUAAAGUUGGUGAAUAAGGGAAACAUAAAUAAAUAAAUGCAUACAUUGCAUUUCCUGUACUAUUUAACAACAUACUUUUGUCCUGCAUAAUGUUUGUUAAGUGUCGGUUUGGUUAGGUUAGCCUAACCCAACCUCUUUCUAAUUUUGUCUAAUACUAAAUACAAUUAUCUCAGAAAUACUGAAAACAAAUUAAUGGACCAAGGUAAGAAUUUGAUACCAAGAAUAGUGUUAUUUGUUUAAUCAUAUAUAAAAUCUUGUGUUAUAAUUAUGCAUAAAAAUAAUUUGAAGACGCAAAUAAAACUAAUUUGGUGCUUUAAUUUGUUAAAAAAAUGUGUACGUAUCUUGAAAUAUAUUUGUAUUACAUUACGCGCUUCCCUAACACAACUGGAAUAGUUGACUGACAGCGUAAUAAAAUGUAUCAUUUUUUUAAUAGGACCGAUAUAAAAUCCCAACAUUGCAUUGAUUCCGCUGUGUAAGCUACACAUGGACACAUGUUUACUUCAACAUUGCCUAAGUCAACGCCGCCGGACCGCCAUACGCCGAUCGCAUUUUAAACGCCGCCGCGGAUAAAUCUAAUUCUUUAUUCAUUGAGACGCCACCCCGCGCCGUGCCGAAAAAUCCUCAAAAUUGGCGCCCCCGCCGCCAAAUUGGUCGGCGUUGACCUCUUACAAGGAACCCUCAACUACUAUACCAUCUCGAUUUCCUUCGGAAUAGCCUGAAUCGACAGAUAAUUUAGUGAAAUUAAAAGUUUGUCAUACCACAUGCCGUGCAAACAACCCUGGAAGAUCUUACCUACCUACGAACCUGGUUGGUAGUACACUUGGACCCCGGGUAGUACAGUUCAACCGGCCGAAGGCCGGUCGAAAUUAUCUUCGAGCAAAUAUAUAAUGAUGAGCAGAAAAUACACAAGACCAGUUGGAAGUACACUAUAACUAGUACAAAAUUGAUAGAAAAGCACACCAAUCGUUGAAAGUAGUACACAUGGUGUACUUCACAUCGAUCACUAGAUAAUAAAUAGAACAUACACCUGUCCUCGAUAAUUUAGUACACCUCGGCCGAUACAAAAUGAGCAGAAAAUGCACAUUACUAGAUGAACUAGUACACUUCGACUAACCAGAAUAUGGAGAAAAUUAAUUUACGACCGAAUGGAAGUAAACUUCGACCAACACAAGAUCUGGAAAAAGUACACGGUCGAAUGGAAGAUCACUUCGACCAACACAAGAUCUGGAAAAAGCACACGAUCGAUUGGUAGUACACUUCGACCAACACAAAAUCUGAAAAAAGUACACGAUAGAAUUGUAGUACAAUUCCACCAACACCAAAAAUCUGGAAAAAAUGCACGAUCGAAGGGUAGUACACUUUGGCCAACACAAAAAUCAGAGAAAAGUACGCAUCGAGAACUGGGAAAUACGCUUAGAUCACCGAAAUAUAUUAAUAAUUAUAUUUCAAAUUGAAAUCCCAAACUGUUCUGUCGACGAAAAUUACGCAAAUCUGUUUGAGAUUUGGUAAUUUUCACAAUAUUAGAUAACAGAGCUGGCCAACGAUCAAAUAAAGUUUCAGACCUGCGUUAAUUCGAUUCAAGUUGACAAUUUAAAUUAGUUGCAGUUUUU